AUGAGAAGUGCCAGAUGAGGAUGAUUGUUGUUUAGUAGUUUGAUACUAUAAGUACUCAUUGUAGUCAACUCCAGUUAAAACAAUGGAAUUGGAUUGUUGAUCUUUUUGCAUCAAGUAUUGGAAGAAGUCCAUCACCAUAGGUUUGAGCCACAUGUUGUGGGUCGGCUUGUGUUGGACUGAUUGAUGCGUGAUGGUCGACCAUGCAAUGUGGUCAUACAAUGGGAUUUAGAGCCAUACAAUGACCAACAAGUAUCUUGAGUGUGGCCAAUUUUAUCACAGUAGAUACCAUGCGAUUUAGAGCCUUUUCCUUUCCUUUUUCGGAAACUGCUCUGCCCAAUUGAUUUCCAGCUUGCACAGCUAACACAGAUAUUUCAAUUUCAUUAAUAUCGGUUGCACUUAAAAAAAUGGACAACAACCGAGCAAAAACAUCUUCCAAAGAAGGAAUAACA
rnacentral:misc_RNA from 1 species